CCUACGGGAGGCAGCAGUGAGGAAUAUUGGUCAAUGGACGAGAGUCUGAACCAGCCAAGUAGCGUGAAGGAUGACUGCCCUAUGGGUUGUAAACUUCUUUUAUAUGGGAAUAAAACGUUCCACGUGUGGGAUUUUGUAUGUACCCUAUGAAUAAGGAUCGGCUAACUCCGUGCCAGCAGCCGCGGUAAUACGGAGGAUCCGAGCGUUAUCCGGAUUUAUUGGGUUUAAAGGGAGCGUAGGUGGAUUGUUAAGUCAGUUGUGAAAGUUUGCGGCUCAACCGUAAAAUUGCAGUUGAAACUGGCAGUCUUGAGUACAGUAGAGGUGGGCGGAAUUCGGGGUGUAGCGGUGAAAUGCUUAGAUAUCACGAAGAACUCCGAUUGCGAAGGCAGUUCACUGGACUGCAACUGACACUGAGGCUCGAAAGUGUGGGUAUCAAACAGGAUUAGAUACCCGAGUAGUC
rnacentral:rRNA from 1 species